rnacentral:rRNA from 1 species
AUUGAACGCUGGCGGCAGGCUUAACACAUGCAAGUCGAGCGAGCGGCGGACGGGUGAGUAAUGUCUGGGAAACUGCCUGAUGGAGGGGGAUAACUACUGGAAACGGUAUCUUAAACCGCCUACCAUCAGAUGUGCCCAGAUGGGAAUGGCGAGGGGGUGGGGUAUUGGCUCACUUGGGCGACGAUCCCUAGCUGGUCUGAGAGGAUGACCAGCAACACUGGAACUGAGACACGGCCCAGACUCCUACGGGAGGCAGCAGUGGGGAAUAUUGCACAAUGGGCGAAAGCCUGAUGCAGCAAUGCCGCGUGGGUGAAGAAGGCCUUCGGGUUGUAAAGCACUUUCAGCGGGGAGGCGUUACUCGCAGAAGAAGCACCGGCUAACUCCGUGCCAGCAGCCGCGGUAAUUC